ACUGAGACUUGUUGUCACGCAGUAGUUACCUGAAACUCACCACACAGCAUGCAUUUUGGCUUUCAUCCAAUAUCGUCCAGGGUGAUGUUUGUGCAGAGUAAUGGUAAUUAAAUUUAAGACAAAAUAUAUGCACCACGUGCUGUGUCCAGAAGCAGUCCAAUGUCCCUGCUUCUAUGGAAAGCAUAUACUUCACUGCCAAUAUUAUUAACUUAAUUUUUUUCUUCGGUCCUUUGUGUAUUUUAAAUAAAACUGUAAUUACUUGAAGGAGUAUAUGCCAAGUGAUAAAGUAUUAUAUAUUUGUUUUCCUUUCUUUAAAGAUAUACAUAAAUAGUGACUAUUUAUAACAGUGUAGGAAGUUUCUUUGUCUGUAUAAAAUAUAUAAAGUGAUAAUACUUGGUGUGGCAAGCUCUUUUGUACAGUUUUGUCAGUUUGCUUCUUACAUUGCCAGACAGUGUUUAGCUUGAUACAUGUAAUAGUCUAUUACAUAAAAGUGAAGAUCUACUACUUAUUUUACCAUUGUGUUCAAUCGUAAUUCAAUUUUUCAAUAUACAUUUCAUAUUAGGUGCCUUUAAAUGUCAAAUGUGCAUAAAUGCAAAUUGUUUUCAUAAUUUGGAUGAAGGAGGUACUUAACUGUAUAAAGAAUGUUAUAAAACAGUGAAAUUUAGUAAAUUUAGUUGAUAGUGAAUCAUAAUUGUGUUGCUUUAUUACGGAUGGUCAUAUAUUUUCCUCAAAUCUGACUAUAUUAAACUUCUACCAUGUAAGCACAUUCAACAUAAAAGCACUAGCAGCUGAGCCAAUCAUUGAUUAGUGAGGUCCUUUUAGAAAAAAUACAUAUAAGGAAUUUUAACUGAUUGGUUCUUAUAAUUUUAAUGAUUUUAAAACCAUGUCUACAACUGACUCACUGGGUUCAUGCGUCUUCCUUUUCUCAACCGUAAAUCCUAACACUGGCAUUGCCAAUUAUUCACAAACAUUAAGAGAAGGAGUGACUAUAUGACUGAACAAUAAGCCAUCAAUCUACCAUCAACAAUAGCUUCUUAUGGAAACCAUUUAAAAAACUGUUUACUCUUCACAGGCUUUAUUCAGAACUUUCUCCGUUUCUUCUUCAUUGCGGCCAAUCAGAUAAACGUACACGUAUGAAGCAAACUAUGACAACAAUAUGAGAAGAGGGAAUUCUUAUACAGGUGCGAGGCCUGGGUAAUCGCCCACCCCGUGUUAACUAAAUCUGAUACGGUGUCUUCUCUGAACAGCUGAACGCUUCUUGGGUUUGGGCAUCACUUCACACCCGCAUCCGCUGCGUACGCGGAUGUAAUCGAGCAUCCACUCCGAGCCACCAAAGGAGUUUGGUGUAGACGUGGUGAGUGGGAGGGCUGUCAGGU